rnacentral:misc_RNA from 1 species
GAUGAAGAACGCAGCGAAAUGCGAUAAGUAGUGUGAAUUGCAGAAUUCAGUGAAUCAUCGAAUCUUUGAACGCACAUUGCGCCCUUUGGUAUUCCUUAGGGCAUGCCUGUUCGAGCGUCAUUUGAAACCUCAAGCUCAGCUUGGUGUUGGGUGUCUGUCCCCGCCUCACCGCGGGGACUCGCCUCAAAAUCAUUGGCGGCCGGUACGUUGGCUUCGAGCGCAGCAGAAACGCGAACUCGAGGCCCGGCGGAUCGGCGACCAGAAGUCACUUCUUCACAGUUUGACCUCGGAUCAGGUAGGGAUACCCGCUGAACUUAAGCAUAUCAUAAGCGGAGGA